CCUACGGGGGGCAGCAGUGGGGAAUAUUGGACAAUGGGGGGAACCCUGAUCCAGCCAUGCCGCGUGUGUGAAGAAGGCCCUCGGGUUGUAAAGCACUUUCAGUGAGGAAGAACGCCUGGUGGUUAAUACCCAUCAGGAAUGACAUCACUCACAGAAGAAGCACCGGCUAACUCCGUGCCAGCAGCCGCGGUAAUACGGAGGGUGCGAGCGUUAAUCGGAAUUACUGGGCGUAAAGCGCGCGUAGGUGGCUUGAUAAGCCGGUUGUGAAAGCCCCGGGCUCAACCUGGGAACGGCAUCCGGAACUGUCAAGCUAGAGUGCAGGAGAGGAAGGUAGAAUUCCCGGUGUAGCGGUGAAAUGCGUAGAGAUCGGGAGGAAUACCGGUGGCGAAGGCGGCCUCCUGGACCGAGACUGACGCUGAGGUGCGAAAGCGUGGGUAGCAAACAGGAUUAGAUACCCCUGUAGUC
rnacentral:rRNA from 1 species